rnacentral:rRNA from 1 species
AACGGCUCUUCGGAGCAGUGGCGGACGGGUGAGUAACGCGUGGGAACGUGCCCUUUGGUUCGGAACAACACAGGGAAACUUGUGCUAAUACCGGAUGAGCCCUUCGGGGGAAAGAUUUAUCGCCAUUGGAGCGGCCCGCGUUGGAUUAGGUAGUUGGUGGGGUAAAGGCCCACCAAGCCGACGAUCCAUAGCUGGUCUGAGAGGAUGAUCAGCCACACUGGGACUGAGACACGGCCCAGACUCCUACGGGAGGCAGCAGUGGGGAAUCUUGCGCAAUGGGCGAAAGCCUGACGCAGCCAUGCCGCGUGUAUGAUGAAGGUCUUAGGAUUGUAAAAUACUUUCACCGGGGAAGAUAAUGACGGUACCCGGAGAAGAAGCCCCGGCUAACUUCGUGCCAGCAGCCGCGGUAAUACAAAGGGGGCUAGCGUUGCUCGGAAUUACUGGGCGUAAAGGGCGCGUAGGCGGACAGUUUAGUCAGAGGUGAAAGCCCAGGGCUCAACCUUGGAAUUGCCUUUGAUACUGGCUGUCUUGAGUUCGGGAGAGGUGAGUGGAAUGCCGAGUGUAGAGGUGAAAUUCGUAGAUAUUCGGCGGAACACCAGUGGCGAA